GUGGCCGGCGCAGGGCAGUCGGGGCGGCGCGGCGUGCUCGGACGGACCGUAGGUGACCGACAGUCGACAUCGGCCGCGCAGUGGGGAGACAUGUGGUGCGCUGCUGCUGCUCUGCUGACUCUGCUGGUCGUCUCCGUAGGAGGCGCGCCACAGCUCCAGGACGAUGAACCGUACCCAGAGGAACUGGCCAUCUAUGACGCCCAGAUGGUCUCUGAGUCCGAGUCGCUCGUCGUACGAGAGGGAGCCAACAUCAGCCUGCCGUGCCAAUGGGAGAGCGAGCGAGCCGGCGACAUCAUCGUACUGUGGAAGAAGAGGCCCAACAUCAUCCUGUUCACGGGCUCGAUGAAGAUCAGCGAGGACGAGCGCGUCCACCUGGGGCCCAAUAACGAGCUGCGCGUGACGGACGUGACGGCCGGGGACGGCGGCACCUACGUCUGUAUCGUGGCCGUCACACCCGACCCCAUCGAGCUCGAGCAUACUGUCUCAGUAAAGUGGCCUGCCAAGCUGCACCCCCUGGACACCGACCACUUCCAGGUGCGCGAGGGAGAGUCCUUCGAGCUGAUCUGCGGAGCGGACGGCAACCCGGAGCCCACCAUCACCUGGUCCAAACUGCCCACUCCUGACGCCGAGGGACCGUAUGUUGAGAACGGAGACCCAGUAGCGCCAACGAGCACGCCCGAGGGUGACGACAUGGCCUUCCUGCCGGAGAACCCUUCCAAGAGCGUGGCGCUCUCCCUGGACCCGGUGCAGCCGCGGCACACGGGAACCUACACCUGCACGGCGCAGAACGGCGUCGGCAAGCCGGACGUGCUCACCGCCAAACUGGAGGUUACUCACGCGCCAUACAUCGCCCAGGACACGGGAGUGGUCCGGACCGCUCACGGUAUGACUGCAGAGGUCGGCUGCAAGGUGUUCGCCAACCCCCGAGCCGAGGUGAUCUGGCAGCGGAACGGUCACGAUCUGCCCAUCAGUUCCCGGUACGAAACUGCCGUGUCCAGCCGCUAUUUCUCGCUGAGGAUCCGUGACGUGAAGGAUGAGGACUUUGGCAACUACACGUGCCGGGCCAAGAACCAGCUGGGACAGAACGAGAACCACAUCACGCUGACAGGUCUGCCGGGCCCGGUGGAGCUGCACCUGGGGAAGCCCAGCGAGGCAGAGAGUGGACGAGGUCAGAGCAGCACCACCGUCACCUGGGAGUUCAUCAGCUACUCGACGGUGGAGGAGACGUCCGUCACGCUGCAGCCGCUGCUGCCGGCCGGUUUCCCCGAGAUCCGGCGAGUACCCACCGUCACAUCCCGCUCCGUCUCCAAAAAGGGUCAGCAGCAGCUGUCGCCACUGAACGAGAACACCACCUACCUGGUGCGGGUGGCCGCGCGCAACCAGUACGGCUGGACACCGCCGGCCGAUGUCUACUUCAGCAUCACGGACGGAGAGCUGAAAAUCACUCAGGCGCCACCGAAGCUGGCCGAGUCGAAGACAGCCAGCGACGCGGCAGCGCGGCUAAAGCUCACGCCCAUCCUUCUCAUCGCCAUCCUGUCGAGUUUUUUCUAGUAAUCACCUAUGAGGUCGGAAAGAGAAUCCUGUGCCACGUCAGCGCGCACGUCCUCUUCAGCGAGGAGAUGGGAGGACGUGACGUGCCCUUCUGAGCACGGCCUGCCGCGUGACGUCUCUGAGACGUAACGUGACGUAGGCCGUCUCUGCAGAGGGCGGCGCUGGCGGGGCGCGGAGCCGCGGCGGAGCGGCCAGUGGAGCCGCUCCUCGGAGACCAGCCGUCCAGCCCGGCCCUCAGUCGGCACCGGCACAGAGCCAUCGGCACAGCGGCUACUGACAGAUAGCUGCUGCCCAGCUGCCAGACAACCAGCUGCUCAGCUACCAGACAACUGUUCAGCUGUCAGACAACUAACAGCCGCCGCCAGCGGCAACUGUAGCUUCCAAACAACCAGCUGUCACUGCUGUUGCCAGGCAACCAGCUAUUACAUCAAGCAGCUGUGUUACCCAAUGUCUGACGACGAACUGAAGUUGCUUUUCGUAGCCGGGUAGUGUUAUUUCGUUGCUAAGCAACCAGAACCGCUGUCGGACCGCCGGCUGAGGAGCCACCUGUUGCCGCGACGGUUCUCUUGCGACCACAUAGGUGACAGAGACAAUGUGAACUGGGACAGAGACGAUGUGGACAGAGCGCGCGCGCACACACGAUACCGGUGCAACUGUGAUGGUUUCUAUAUUGUUGGAACGUGUGCCAAGGAUGAGUGCGGAUGUAAGUGUAUGUGAGUGCGGCAGUAGUGAGGCUGAGGAGAAAACAUUGAGUUGAGUUCUCGGUGUUUGAAGGCACUGUGCGGGUUGAAGAAACAACGAGGGCUAGGGGUGUGAACUUUUAUCUGCCCGUGCCCCCGUCAUGUUCUGUAUGGAUCGUUCGAUUCAUUGAUUUGAACUGGUCGAAACUGCCAUCGACGGGCGAGAGAUACUAAAUGCUAUUGUGAAUGUCAUCGCUUUACACUGUAGGCUGGGUGAAUCGGUGAGCACAUGGAAUGUCGUACAACGAAAGCUACCUAUGCUUCACAACCGAAGCGUGCUUGUGUGUCCUUGGCAUGCAUUUAUAUCGGUGCGUUUGUAUUAUAUCUUUGUCGGAGUGAAUGCACGCAUUGACGUAUCGAAUUCGUAUCAUCGAUAAAAAAUACAUUUCGUCCAUCGAUGUUUCGAA
rnacentral:misc_RNA from 1 species